rnacentral:rRNA from 1 species
UACGGGGGGAGCAAGCGUUGUUCGGAUUUACUGGGCGUAAAGGGCGCGUAGGCGGUCGUGACAAGUCACUUGUGAAAUCUCCGGGCUUAACUCGGAACGGUCAAGUGAUACUGUCGGACUAGAGUACAGAAGGGGCAACUGGAAUUCCCGGUGUAGCGGUGAAAUGCGUAGAGAUCGGGAAGAACAUCGGUGGCGAAAGCGCUCUACUGGACGGUGACUGACACUCAGGGACGAAAGCUAGGGGAGCGAAUGGG